rnacentral:rRNA from 1 species
AACGAACGCUGGCGGCAUGCCUAACACAUGCAAGUCGAACGAGACCUUCGGGUCUAGUGGCGCACGGGUGCGUAACGCGUGGGAACCUGCCCUUAGGUUCGGAAUAACUCCCCGAAAGGGGUGCUAAUACCGGAUAAUGUCUUCGGACCAGAGAUUUAUCGCCUUUGGAUGGGCCCGCGUUGGAUUAGCUAGUUGGUAGGGUAAAAGCCUACCAAGGCGACGAUCCAUAGCUGGUCUGAGAGGAUGAUCAGCCACACUGGGACUGAGACACGGCCCAGACUCCUACGGGAGGCAGCAGUGGGGAAUAUUGGACAAUGGGCGAAAGCCUGAUCCAGCAAUGCCGCGUGAGUGAUGAAGGCCUUAGGGUUGUAAAGCUCUUUUACCCGGGAUGAUAAUGACAGUACCGGGAGAAUAAGCGCCGGCUAACUCCGUG